rnacentral:rRNA from 1 species
GUGCCAGCCGCCGCGGUAAUACGUAGGUGGCAAGCGUUGUCCGGAUUUAUUGGGCGUAAAGAGCGCGCAGGCGGUUUGUUAAGUUCGAGGUGAAAUCUCCCGGCUCAACUGGGAGGGGUCUUCGGAUACUGGCAGGCUUGAGGAGAGCAGAGGUGAGUGGAAUUCUCGGUGUAGUGGUGAAAUGCGUAGAUAUCGAGAGGAACACCAGCGGCGAAGGCGGCUCACUGGGCUCCACCUGACGCUGAGGCGCGAAAGCGUGGGGAGCGAACCGGAUUAGAUACCCGGGUAGUCC